GCCGGCGUAGCUUAGUUUGGUAGAGUAGCGGGCUGUUAACUCGUUGGUCAACGGUUCGAGUCCGUUCGCCGGCGCCA
rnacentral:tRNA from 1 species